UAUAGCAUCUCCAUUUAGCUGACUCUCCAGCAGCCCAGGCAGUCCAUGUGAUCAAGCUUGGAAGUGAAGAAAGCAAGCUUCCUGGCUUAUUUCCUUGAAAUCCCACUUGCUCCUCCCUCUGUAGUGGUGUUGCACACAGAAGUUCAGGCUGAUGCCAGGGAAUGUUUUAGGACACCAAGGGAUUAUUAGAUCAUUAUUAGGUCAUUAGAUAAGCUGUGGCAGGGUGGAGCUAUUUUUCCUCACACAUGAUGUUCAAAUAAGAAGUCUUAAUUGGUGCUAAAUCACCAGAAGGUCAAGAGCAAAUGGAGCUUCCUGUCUUAAACUUGAAAAUGCAGAGUAUUCACAGGAGUUCAUAAGGAGAUACAGAAAAUACGUAAAGCAUCCAAAUACUCACAAGCCCACAAAGACCUUGAAAGAAACUAUUUAAUAGAAGUUCUGAACAAGCAGCAUUCCUUUCCCAUCAGACUUGUACUGUACACAUCAUUCAGUGGAAUAAGAAGUUGGAAUGGGGUCAUAAGGUCCAGUUUCAUUACUUCCUUCCCCAAAUCACAGAUAUCCUUCAAUUUUAUUGCAGUUGUAGGGGACCACGUGGAUAAUCUUCAUCUUUCUCUGAGAAGCAAGCCUGCUUAGGAAAGCCCCUCCUCUCUUUCUUGAAUAUCCUUGAACUCUCAAACUUAGAAAUUACUUUUACUUGUAAAGCAACCCCAAAGCCUCAUGUGCUGCCCAAGAAAUCUGCUUUCUCUGGCUUGACGGCUAAUUUGUGAGUUCAUGCUGCUAAGGGAAAUCAUGGAAUUACUUCUUCUACAACAGAAAUUGGAGCCUAGCAACAUUGUUGAUUAACUACCCUCUUUAGUGGUGUGGCUCUGGACUUGUCUAAUUUAUCUACAAUGUUUAAUAACAACAUAUAAGGUAAUCCUGUUUGCUGACAUGUCUUGGGGAGGGGCAGUUGACUCUCUAGGAUCUCUCCUCUUUAGCCUUAGAGCUCUUAUAACUCAAACUGCUCUAAGGCAGUUAUUGCCACUCCUUCAAACCCUAGAACAAAGAUUUGAUCUGUUUUAUUCUAGUUUGCCUCUGAAUAAAGAAAAUGCAAAAUGAA